rnacentral:lncRNA from 1 species
AUUUCAUAGAAGGCUCCUACUUGCACUAGGACUUGCGAGAUAAAUGGGCGUUCUUCAGGGAGGAAAAGAACCUUCAGGCAGGAGGAGCACACAGUCAAAGGCAGAGAGGUGCUGCCGCCUGACAGGACGCCAAGCAUCUCUGAACGGCUGGACUGUGGGAUCUAGGAUUCCAACUUCUGACUUCCAAAUUCCAAAUGCAGUCUGAGAUAUUCCAUUCGGACUUCUGGAACUACAGAAUGAUACAACUUUAGCAUGUGCUAUUUAACUAUGAGAUAUUUCUACUUCCAUGUGUCCACCAGCAAGGCUUCAGCGGACACACACGCCGGGUGCCUGCUGGCCGCGUCAGCACACGCGGCCCGCUGCCCAGGCCAUCUGGUCCUCCACGGCGAGCCAUAUGGAACGGAGGCCCCACCACUUUGGAAAAGCUGAACUUGUUUCUUCGGUGGGUUCUCUGCUUGACUGGGCUUCCCACCUCUAUGGAAUCAGGCAUGGAUAUAAUCACAGCUUCCUUAUUUUCCUUCCUGAGAAUCAAUGACCUAAAUUUUAUUAAGAGAGCUAUUAGACAGUGCAUCUUACUCAAGUUAAGUAAUGACCAAAAAUUCCAC